ACUCAGGUUCCCACAACCGACACAAACCGUGCAACUUGAAACUCCGCCUGGUCUUUCCAGGUCUAGAGGGGUGGCAUUUUGUACUGUGCUUGACUCCACGCUCGGUCCACUGGCGAGUGCUAGUAACAGCACUGUUGCUUCGUAGCGGAGCAUGGUGGCCGCGGGAACUCCUCCUUGGUAACAGGGACCCGCGGGGCCAAAAGCCACGUCCUCACGGACCCACCAUGUGUGCAACCCCAGCACGGCAACUUUACUGUGAAAACCACUUUAAGGUGACACUGAUACUGGUACUCAACCACUGGUGACAGGCUAAGGAUGCCCUUUAGGUACCCUGAGGUAACACGCGACACUCGGGAUCUGAGAAGGGGACUGGGGCUUCUUUAAAAGCGCUUAGUUUAAAAAGCUUCUACGCCUGAAUAGGUGACCGGAGGCCGGCACCUUUCUUUUAAACAACUACUUU
rfam:Foot-and-mouth disease virus O isolate O TK2001-ED, complete genome.